rnacentral:lncRNA from 1 species
CCUGGGACGCUUUGUGGGAACUUCGAGUCUCUUCGGUCUGCUUCCUUUUUAAGUUACUGCCUUGCUGGGAUGAUUGAGGGGGCCUCUCAGCCAUGGCACUGACCAGCGCCCCCACUGCUGACUUGGCCUUUGGGCUUUUUCUGCCUCUGCUGGCAUUUUACUUUUCCCCACCUCGAGCCCGGUGCUGAGUCUAGGGGCUCAGUCUGAAGGUGCCUGGAGAGCAUCAGGUACCCCUACGCCCAAGCUGGAGGACGGAGGAGUUGUCAGGAGCGAGGAUGAGAUGAGCGGGGGCCGCUUUGACUUUGAUGAUGGCCUCCCGUGAGCCCAUGCUGGGUGCCGGGGUGCCAGAGGAAGAGAAUGUCUAGGUACCCUCCGGGGUAAAGGAUGCCCCGAGGGAGUAGCCCUGGUCUCCCGAACCCCUUUGCUCCUGCACCUGUCCUCAGUCCUGCCCCACUUUGCCCUGCCACCCUUCCCUGGGCUUUUGUGCGUUUUGAGAGAUAUCACGAAAGCAAGAUAUUCAUACAGAUCUCUCCCUCUUCCUCCUACCCUACCCCCAACCUAGUCCUCUGGCUGAUGGCUUGAGGCCACGCAGAAAGACAAAGGGUGCAGAUGUCCCUUGGGUAGUGCAGUCACUCCCCCAGCCUAUACUGCUCAGAGUUCACAGACUUCUGGAGGGCAGCGUAGGAAACAGAGAAGCCCAGUUGAAUAUCCUCCAACCAGUCCAGUUGUCAUCCCCUAGGACCAGUAGUGGGGGAGACCUGAGCAUCUGAGCCUUUGGCUGGGAAGCCACCUAAAGGGGUCUGGGGUGGGGUGGAGAAGGUUAGGCAUGUUGGUGAUGG